rnacentral:rRNA from 1 species
GACGAACGCUGGCGGCGUGCUUAACACAUGCAAGUCGAACGGAAAGGCCCUGCUUUUGUGGGGUGCUCGAGUGGCGAACGGGUGAGUAACACGUGAGUAACCUGCCCUUGACUUUGGGAUAACUUCAGGAAACUGGGGCUAAUACCGGAUAGGAGCUCCUGCUGCAUGGUGGGGGUUGGAAAGUUUCGGCGGUUGGGGAUGGACUCGCGGCUUAUCAGCUUGUUGGUGGGGUAGUGGCUUACCAAGGCUUUGACGGGUAGCCGGCCUGAGAGGGUGUCCGGCAACAUUGGGACUGAGAUACGGCCCAGACUCCUACGGGAGGCAGCAGUGGGGAAUAUUGCACAAGGGGCGGAAGCCUGAUGCAGCAACGCCGCGUGCGGGAUGACGGCCUUCGGGUGGUAAACCGCUUUCGCCUGUGACGAAGCGUGAGUGACGGUAAUGGGUAAGAAGCACCGGCUAACUACGUG